AGAGCUUCCCCUCUUCCGUCCUUCCUUCCUUCCUUCCUUCCUUCCUUCCUUCCUUCCUUCCUUCCUUCCUUUUUGUCCUUCCUUCCUUCUUUCAAUUUCUCCUAAAACUUACCUUAUUCAGGCCAGUCAACUCAGCUCUGACACAUUAGUGUCUCAGGGACUCGGCUGCUUCUCUUGACCAACAGGAGCUCCAUCCUACAGAAUAGCAAACAGAUAUAUCUAAAAUUCAUGGGUUAGUAUUAUCCAUUCUGAAGACCUCAAAUAUGGUUAAUUGAGGUAGGAGUGGUGGCACAUGUCAAUAAUUGAAGCACUUGUGAGGUGGAAGCAAGAUGAUCAGGAGUUUGAGUCAAAAUCACCCACAAGAAUUUAAAACCUGCCCAGGCAACUAGACAACCUAUCUCAGAACAGUAACAGUGAUAAAAAAAAAUUCUACUAAAAGAAUGGAUCAGGCUGCAGAUGGAGCAGAGAGGGAAGAAGAGGCCUUCGGAUUCUGGGCCUGGGCCUCUGCUGCAUGAGGAUGGUUAGUGAAUAAAAGUUUGCUCACUGUAACAGUGGCUCUAAAGUGAGGUGACUGGGGUCAGCCUAAUGGGAUUGCAACUCUGCAUUGCAGGAAGUUGUGUCAGAAGAGAUGGCUCUACUGUGACAUGGUCACCCUACAGCUCCAUGGCAAAGAGACAUGGAAAGAGUUCUUCAUUUACAGAACAUGGCAAGAACACGCCAAGUCCCGGGCAAAGCCAGAAGAUUUCACUUACAAGGAAAUUCCUGUGGAGUUUGAAUCUCGGGCUUAUGCAUAUUAUAUCUCAAAACAUGACUUAACAAGAAAUGGACAAGGGAUGUCUGCUGUCUGUAUGGUGACUUCCAUGAACAGGAUUUCUACCUGGGAUAUUCACGAGGUGAGUCGGGCUGACAAGUAGCAAAAGAUACCCUCAUAUGAAUUUUAAUUUCAUGUUUUUGUUGUUGAGGAUGAUGAGACAGCAUCCCCCAGUACACACCUGGCUGUCUCAGAAUUCUCCAUACAGAUCCAUCUACUUUAGCUUCCCAUGUGCUUGGAUCAA
rnacentral:lncRNA from 1 species